GCAGCAAUGCGCGCAGCCUGAUGCAGCACGCCGCGUGAGUGAUGACGGCCUUCGGGUUGUAAACCUCUUUCUUCAGGGACGAUAAUGACGGUACCUGAGGAGGAAGCCCCGGGUAACUUCGUGCCAGCAGCCGCGGUAAU
rnacentral:rRNA from 1 species